rnacentral:rRNA from 2 species
UACGGAGGGUGCGAGCGUUAAUCGGAAUUACUGGGCGUAAAGGGUGCGUAGGUGGUUUAGUAAGUUAGCUGUGAAAUUCCUGGGCUUAACCUAGGGUGGUCAGCUAAGACUGCUGAACUUGAGUAUGGGAGAGGGUAGUGGAAUUUCCGGUGUAGCGGUGAAAUGCGUAGAGAUCGGAAGGAACACCAGUGGCGAAGGCGGCUACCUGGCCUAAUACUGACACUGAGGCACGAAAGCGUGGGGAGCAAACAGG